rnacentral:rRNA from 1 species
AUUGAACGCUGGCGGCAUGCCUUACACAUGCAAGUCGAACGGCAGCACGGGUGCUUGCACCUGGUGGCGAGUGGCGAACGGGUGAGUAAUACAUCGGAACGUACCUUAUCGUGGGGGAUAACGCAGCGAAAGCUGUGCUGAUACCGCAUACGCCCUGAGGGGGAAAGCGGGGGAUCGAAAGACCUCGCGCGAUUAGAGCGGCCGAUGCCUGAUUAGCUUGUUGGUGGGGUAAAAGCCCACCAAGGCGACGAUCAGUAGCUGGUCUGAGAGGACGAUCAGCCACACUGGGACUGAGACACGGCCCAGACUCCUACGGGAGGCAGCAGUGGGGAAUUUUGGACAAUGGGGGCAACCCUGAUCCAGCGAUGCCGCGUGAGUGAAGAAGGCCUUCGGGUUGUAAAGCUCUUUUGUCAGGGAAGAAACACCGGCUCUAACACAGUCCGGGAAUGACGGUACCUGAAGAAUAAGCACCGGCUAACUACGUGCCAGCAGCCGCGGUAA